CGGCGGACGGGUGAGUAACGCGUGGGUAACCUGCCUCAUACAGGGGGAUAACAGUUGGAAACGGCUGCUAAUACCGCAUAAGCGCACAGUACCGCAUGGUACGGUGUGAAAAACUCCGGUGGUAUGAGAUGGACCCGCGUCUGAUUAGGUAGUUGGUGGGGUAACGGCCUACCAAGCCGACGAUCAGUAGCCGACCUGAGAGGGUGACCGCCACAUUGGGACUGAGACACGGCCCAA
rnacentral:rRNA from 1 species